rnacentral:rRNA from 1 species
UAGGGAAUCUUCGGCAAUGGACGAAAGUCUGACCGAGCAACGCCGCGUGAGUGAAGAAGGUUUUCGGAUCGUAAAACUCUGUUGUUAGAGAAGAACAAGGACGUUAGUAACUGAACGUCCCCUGACGGUAUCUAACCAGAAAGCCACGGCUAACUACGUGCCAGCAGCCGCGGUAAUACGUAGGUGGCAAGCGUUGUCCGGAUUUAUUGGGCGUAAAGCGAGCGCAGGCGGUUUCUUAAGUCUGAUGUGAAAGCCCCCGGCUCAACCGGGGAGGGUCAUUGGAAACUGGGAGCCUUGAGUGCAGAAGAGGGGAGUGGAAUUCCAUGUGUAGCGGUACAAUGCGUAAAUAUAUAGAGGAACACCAGUGGCGAAGGCGGCUCUCUGGUCUGUAACUGACGCUGAGGCUCGAAAGCGUGGGGAGCAAACAGG